rnacentral:rRNA from 1 species
AACAAACGCUGGCGGCAGGCCUAACACAUGCAAGUCGAGCGAAGCCUUCGGGCUUAGCGGCGGACGGGUGAGUAAUGCUUAGGAAUCUGCCUAUUAGUGGGGGACAACAUUCCGAAAGGGAUGCUAAUACCGCAUACGCCCUACGGGGGAAAGCAGGGGAUCUUCGGACCUUGCGCUAAUAGAUGAGCCUAAGUCGGAUUAGCUAGUUGGUGGGGUAAAGGCCUACCAAGGCGACGAUCUGUAGCGGGUCUGAGAGGAUGAUCCGCCACACUGGGACUGGAAGACGGCCCAGACGCCUACGGGAGGCAGCAGUGGGGAAUAUUGGACAAUGGGCGGAAGCCUGAUCCAGCCAUGCCGCGUGUGUGAAGAAGGCCUUUUGGUUGUAAAGCACUUUAAGCGAGGAGGAGGCUCUUAAGGUUAAUACCCUUGAUGAGUGGACGUUACUCGCAGAAUAAGCACCGGCUAACUCUGUGCCAGCCGCCGCCGUAAAAC